CAUGAACUUUACCCCGUUGGGUUUUUCUUCCCCAUUUCUCCAUUCAAGGAGCAAGCAAAGAAAAGUCCGUGAAGAAAAAGGAGACUGCAGACGAUGCUAAGCCUAAGAUGCCUGAGAAAGAUGGCACUGCCUCAAAAGUGGCCCCUGCUAAGAAGCCAAAGGCGAAGAAUGCUGCAGGGGAGGGUGGAACUGAGCCCAAACCGAGCAAAGCUAAAGUUUCUAAAGCAUCAAAAGGAGGUGAGGAACCAGCAGCUAAGAAAGCUGGAAAGAAAACCACAAAGGCAGAGGAGGGUGAUUCUGGAGAAAAGGGUGCUGCAGCCACUACCAAAGGCCCGGGGAAACGAGGGAAAAAGUGACGCAGGCUCUUCAACCGUUUUUAUUCACUGCUGUGUUUUAUUUGUGCACUUGUAUACCAAAUAAAGAGUUUUACCUCUU